AGAGUUUGAUCCUGGCUCAGGACGAACGCUGGCGGCGGGCCUAAUACAUGCAAGUCGAACGCACUCGACCUUCGGGUCACAUGAGUGAGUGGCGAACGGGUGAGUAACACGUGAGAAACCUGCCCUGAAGACCGGAAUAACCCGAGGAAACUCGAGCUAAUGCCGGAUAUCCCCAUCUGGUCGCAUGGCCUAAUGAGGAAAUGUUCAGGCGCUUCAGGAGGGUCUCACGGCCUAUCAGCUAGUUGGUGAGGUAACGGCUCACCAAGGCAUCGACGGGUAGCUGGUCUGAGAGGACGAUCAGCCACACUGGGACUGAGACACGGCCCAGACUCCUACGGGAGGCAGCAGUAGGGAAUCUUGCGCAAUGGGCGAAAGCCUGACGCAGCCACGCCGCGUGAGGGAUGAAGGCUCUCGGGUUGUAAACCUCUUUCAGCAGGGACGAAAAUGACGGUACCUGCAGAAGAAGCCCCGGCCAACUACGUGCCAGCAGCCGCGGUAACACGUAGGGGGCAAGCGUUGUCCGGAUUUAUUGGGCGUAAAGGGCUCGUAGGCUGUUCAGUAAGUCAGGUGUGAAAACUCGAGGCUCAACCUCGAGAUGCCACUUGAUACUGCUGUGACUAGAGUUCGGUAGAGGAGUGUGGAAUUCCUAGUGUAGCGGUGAAAUGCGCAGAUAUUAGGAGGAACACCAACAGCGAAGGCAGCACUCUGGGCCGAUACUGACGCUGAGGAGCGAAAGCGUGGGGAGCGAACAGGAUUAGAUACCCUGGUAGUCCACGCC
rnacentral:rRNA from 1 species